UCUUAUGGAUAAAAUGAGGUUACUGAUUUAAUAUAAAAAAAUAGUAAGCAAAGAGUCAUGGAGUUAGAUAAUAAAAAACUUGGCUCUGAUUUCAGGUAUGGCGUACAUUAAGGGAUACACAUGGUUUUUUUAGAAAGAGGUGAGGUGGAAGGUAAGGGAUAUUAAAGAUUGACACAAAGUUAUAAUGAUAUGGCCUUCUAGGGUGUUAUAGUAAACAUAAUGUCCUGAAAUACCCACUAACACCAGUGUUGAAGAUUAAAAGAAGAGUGAAAGCUCGUAUUAGCUUAGUGAAUAAAAUUUGGUUAAUUUGGUGCCAGCAUCCGCGGUUAAACCAAGAAAUUUAGUCAUUCUUUUAUGGUAAAAGAACAGUUAGGCAAUGGUAGAAAAUUAUUAGAUCUUUAGUAUAGGAGUAAAAUCUAGAUACUAAAAGUUAUAUCAGACAUGAUUUAUCUGAGAUGCUGAGGCUGUGAUAGCUUUAAGGGAAACUGGGAUUGGAUACCCCAUUAUUUUUAGCUGUAAAUUUAGUUUGAGCUUACCAGAGUACUACGAAUAAAAAGUUUAAAACUCAAAGGGCUUGGCGGUGUUUUAGACCUCUCAGGGGAACCUGUCUCGUAAUCGACAAUCCACGAUAAACCUAACCUUUAAUGGCAACUCAGCCUGUAUACCGUCGUCGUCAGGUAACUUCUUAAAAUAUAGUAGUUAGCUUGAGAAUUGUAUUAAUUAAAACGUCAGAUCAAGGUGCAGCUAAUGAAAGGGUGAGGAUGGGUUACAAUUACAUAUUUGUAAAUACGGAAAAACACUUGAAAUGAAGUGUCUUAAAGGAGGACUUGAAAGUAAUUUUGUCUAUAUAAAUAGAAUGAAUAGGGCUCUGAAACGUGCACACAUCGCCCGUCGCUCUCGUUGAAAAAUGAGAUAAGUCGUAACAUAGUAGGGGUAAUGGAAAUUGUUCCUAGGCUG
rnacentral:ncRNA from 1 species